GUGAGGUAAUGGCUCACCAAGGCGUCGACGGGUAGCCGGCCUGAGAGGGUGACCGGCCACACUGGGACUGAGACACGGCCCAGACUCCUACGGGAGGCAGCAGUGGGGAAUAUUGCACAAUGGGCGAAAGCUUGAUGCAGCAACGCCGCGUGCGGGAUGACGGCCUUCGGGUUGUAAACCGCUUUUAGUAAGGAAGAAGCCUUCGGGUGACGGUACUUGCAGAAAAAGGACCGGCUAACUACGUGCCAGCAGCCGCGGUAAUACGUAGGGUCCGAGCGUUGUCCGGAAUUAUUGGGCGUAAAGAGCUCGUAGGCGGUUUGUCGCGUCUGCUGUGAAAACUAGAGGCUCAACCUCUAGCCUGCAGUGGGUACGGGCAGACUUGAGUGGUGUAGGGGAGACUGGAAUUCCUGGUGUAGCGGUGGAAUGCGCAGAUAUCAGGAGGAACACCGAUGGCGAAGGCAGGUCUCUGGGCACUUACUGACGCUGAGGAGCGAAAGCGUGGGGAGCGAACAGGAUUAGAUACCCUGGUAGUCCACGCCGUAAACGUUGGGCGCUAGAUGUGGGGACCUUUCCACGGUUUCCGUGUCGUAGCUAACGCAUUAAGCG
rnacentral:rRNA from 1 species